rnacentral:rRNA from 1 species
GAUGAACGCUGGCGGCGUGCCUAAUACAUGCAAGUCGAGCGAACGGACGAGAAGCUUGCUUCUCUGAUGUUAGCGGCGGACGGGUGAGUAACACGUGGAUAGCCUACCUAUAAUACUGGGAUAACUUCGGGAAACCGGAGCUAAUACCGGAUAAUAUUUUGAACCGCAUGGUUCAAAAGUGAAAGACGGUCUUGCUGUCACUUAUAGAUGGAUCCGCGCUGCAUUAGCUAGUUGGUAAGGUAACGGCUUACCAAGGCAACGAUGCAUAGCCGACCUGAGAGGGUGAUCGGCCACACUGGAACUGAGACACGGUCCAGACUCCUACGGGAGGCAGCAGUAGGGAAUCUUCCGCAAUGGGCGAAAGCCUGACGGAGCAACGCCGCGUGAGUGAUGAAGGUCUUCGGAUCGUAAAACUCUGUUAUUAGGGAAGAACAUAUGUGUAAGUAACUGUGCACAUCUUGACGGUACCUAAUCAGAAAGCCACGGCUAACUACGUG